rnacentral:lncRNA from 1 species
GGAGCCUGCCUCUUAAAAACCCUCCUAAACCACAUACACAAAAGAAUGUAGAUGAGGUCAGACUUAUGGUCUUGUGAGCCCAGUAUAGUCCCUUAGUCACAGAAGGAUGGAACAAAAACUGAGGCCUAAUGAUGUGCAAGAUUGACAUCAAACCUACUAAAACCAGUGGGGAAUGUGAUAGUAGGAGAAAAUGUGACUCCAUUUUGUUUUAUGACUUCAUCCUGUAAAACAACCAUGCCAAGUAGAAGAGUCAUGACUGGAGCAAGAUGUUCUUUUCCUUUUGUUAUAGAAAUCUUUAAGAACACGGGACUACCUAAUGGGGCAUUGUUUCUGUAACUAGGGUAACAGGGCUCUGUUUCUGUAACUGGGGUGACUGGGGUAACUGGGCUAACUGUGAUUGGUUAGGCUUCCCUCCGCUUGACUGCACUGUCCCGCUUCUGUAACCUGGCUUGCUUACAUUGGCUAGACCCCCUGAACAUCCCUUUUGUGGUUUUCAGGCUUAUAAGGAAUGC